UACGUAGGGGGCUAGCGUUGUCCGGAUUUAUUGGGGCGUAAAGAGCGUGUAGGCGGCCAUGUAGGUCCGGUGUGAAAACUCGAGGCUUAACCUCGAGAUGUCAUCGGGAAACCAUUUGGCUAGAGUCCGGAAGAGGAGAGUGGAAUUCCUGGUGGUAGCGGUGAAAUGCGCAGAUAUCAGGAAGAACACCAAUGGCGAAAGCAGCUCUCUGGGGACGGUACUGACGCUGAGACGCGAAAGCGUGGGGGAGCGAACAGG
rnacentral:rRNA from 1 species